rnacentral:lncRNA from 1 species
CUGGGGGUUAGGAGGAGGCCGGGGCAGGGGGAAGAGGCUGAGGGCAUACCCGCCCCCUCCCCCUCGCAGCCGCCCGGUGGGGUCUCCCUACCGCCUAACUUAGGGGCCGAAGCGGAGAGCGUGAGCUCAUGGCCCAAAAACUGAAGGAGGAGUUCAGCAGAGUAACUGGAAGGACAGUGAUGGAGGUCUGCACUUGUGGACGUGAAAACAUCGUAUGCAAAUUAAAAGGACUUCAAAACUCUAGAUCACAGUCAUUUAUCAGGAAUAAGGCAGCUUUACUUUUUACAGGAAAUGGAAAGUAAAACCUCAACAAAUGGAUGCAACCCUUCAGAACGGACUCUCAGAUGGGCACUGCUGAAAAUUGAUCUGGUUACUUGUCAAUUGCAUUUUUCAGACAUGACAUCAGCAACAGAGCUGUAGCCAGU